rnacentral:rRNA from 1 species
AGCUCCAAUAGCGUAUAUUAAUGUUGUUGCAGUUAAAAAGCUCGUAGUUGGAUUUCUGAUCAUCGCGACCGGCCUCGACUAAGUCUUGUGCUGUGUGUCAUCGGUGGUCAUCCUUGAGGAGAGUGUGUUUGGUAUUUAUUUAUCGAGCUCAGGACCCUCAUCGUUUACUGUGAAAAAAUUAGAGUGUUUAAAGCAGGCAAUCGCCUUGAAUACAUUAGCAUGGAAUAAUAAGAUAGGACUUUGGUACUAUUUUGUUGGUUUGUAUACCGAAGUAAUGAUUAACAGGGACAGUUGGGGGUAUUCCUAUUUACAUGUCAGAGGUGAAAUUCUUGGAUUUUGGAAAGAGGAACUACUGCGAAAGCAUUUACCAAGGAUGUUUUCAUUA